GACGAACGCUGGCGGCGUGCUUAACACAUGCAAGUCGAACGAUGACGACCGAGCUUGCUCGGUCUGAUUAGUGGCGAACGGGUGAGUAACACGUGAGCAACCUGCCCUUCACUCUGGGAUAACCUCGGGAAAUCGGGGCUAAUACCGGAUAUGAGCUCCUGUCGCAUGGCGGGUGUUGGAAAGUUUUUCGGUGAAGGAUGGGCUCGCGGCCUAUCAGUUUGUUGGUGAGGUAGUGGCUCACCAAGGCGAUGACGGGUAGCCGGCCUGAGAGGGCGACCGGCCACACUGGACUGAGACACGGCCCAGACUCCUACGGGAGGCAGCAGUGGGGAAUAUUGCACAAUGGGCGAAAGCCUGAUGCAGCGACGCCGCGUGAGGGAUGACGGCCUUCGGGUUGUAAACCUCUUUCAGCAGGGAAGAAGCGAAAGUGACGGUACCUGCAGAAGAAGCGCCGGCUAACUACGUG
rnacentral:rRNA from 1 species